AAGCAAUGUGCCGAUCCUUCUGUGUUCAUAUAUUGCCAUCUAGUGUGAGCAGAAGAAGUUGCAAGCAGAUUCAUAGCCAGAGAACGAUGGGAAGGCAAGGAACGCCGUGUGGAGCAGUUCCACCACCAAAGAGAAGCAGAACUGGCUGCACAAGCUGCCUGGGUGGGAGACCACCUGGAAAUCAUGUUAUGAAGGUCUGCUAUCCUGCAAAUGCAUUUGGAUGUAAUGAAGAGAUGAACCAGUUUUAAAAAGAAUCAUAUAGUCGGAUGGGACCCAAGGGUCAUCUAAUCCAACCCCUGCAAUGCAGGAAUCUCAUCUAAAGCAUCCACAACGGACAGCCAUCCAACCUCUGCUUAAAAACCUCCAAGGAAGGAGAGUCCACAACCUCCCAAGGGAUACUGUUCCAUCACCAAACAGCUCCUUACUUUCAGAAACUUCUUGCUGGUGUUUAGUCGGAAUCUCCUUUCUUGUAACUUGAAGCCAUUGGUUCAGUCCCUACCCUCCAGAGCCGGAGAAAACAAGCUUGCGCCAUUGUCCAUGUGACAACCCUUGAGAUAUUUGAAGAUGGCCAUCAUAUCUCCACUCAGUCUCCUCUUUACUGGAGAGUAAGAUCAGCGUACACAGUUGGGCCUGAUGAGCAUUUACUGUUCCCAACCCAAAUCCUGCAGAAAGCCAUCUAAUUCAGAUUUUAAUUUUAUCCUGACUUGUUUUUAAGAGGUGAUUUAAUUAUUGUUUGAUUUUAUAUCAAUGUUUAUAUUUGAUGUUAGCUGCCCUGAGCCCGGUCUCAGUCGGGGAGGGAGGGAUACAAAUAAAAGUUGGUUUUA